rnacentral:rRNA from 1 species
UACGAAGGGGGCUAGCGUUGUUCGGAAUUACUGGGCGUAAAGGGCGCGUAGGCGGUGCCUCAAGUCAGGCGUGAAAGCCCCGGGCUCAACCUGGGAACCGCGCUUGAGACUGGAGUACUAGAGUUCGGGAGAGGAUGGUGGAAUUCCCAGUGUAGAGGUGAAAUUCGUAGAUAUUGGGAAGAACACCGAUGGCGAAGGCAGCCAUCUGGACCGACACUGACGCUGAG